rnacentral:sRNA from 1 species
CAGAGGCUCCCUGACUUGUGUGAAGAAGAGGAGAAGCUUUCCUUGGAUUACUUUGAGAAGCAGCAGCCCCCACCUAUGAAGGCCUGCUUGUCAUGUCACCAGCAAAUUCACCGGAAUGCACCUAUAUGCCCUCUAUGCAAGGCCAAGAGUCGGUCCCGGAACCCCAAAAAGCCGAAACGGAAGCAGGAUGAAUAAAGAAAGGGAGAGCACAUGAAGCUUUGCUAAUUAUAACCCCUCACCUUGACCAGAGUCAUUGAUGUCCUGAUGUGAAACGACCCUUGCCCAACCCCACGAAGUCUCCUAUUUAAUGUGAUGGAAGCACAACCCCUCUCUCACUUUGCUCCUGUUUCUUUCUGCUCUUGGGAUUUCUGGUUUAGGAAGAGAUGUGGUUCAGGUGCUAAACAGUGUGUCUGAUGAUCCCUUCUCUCCCACUCACAUUUCAACCCCUGCCCUUGUUUGGAGCUAAGGGAAGGGCAAAAGGCUCAGAUAUGAUUCUCUAUCUCUUGUGCCUGAGGCCUGGAGCCUAAGGAGCUGUAGGGUCUGAGGGGCAGGGGAGGCCCAUAUCUUGUUUCAGGUAA